rnacentral:rRNA from 1 species
GAUGAACGCUGGCGGCGUGCCUAAUACAUGCAAGUCGAGCGAACAGAUGAGAAGCUUGCUUCUCUGAUGUUAGCGGCGGACGGGUGAGUAACACGUGGGUAACCUACCUAUAAGACUGGGAUAACUCCGGGAAACCGGGGCUAAUACCGGAUAAUAUUUUGAACCGCAUGGUUCAAUAGUGAAAGACGGUUUCGGCUGUCACUUAUAGAUGGACCCGCGCGCGUAUUAGCUAGUUGGUAAGGUAACGGCUUACCAAGGCGACGAUACGUAGCCGACCUGAGACGGUGAUCGGCCACACUGGAGCUGAGACACGGUCCAGACUCCUACGGGAGGCAGCAGUAGAGAAUCUUCCGCAAUGGGCGAAAGCCUGACGGAGCAACGCCGCGUGAGUGAUGAAGGUCUUCGGAUCGUAAAACUCUGUUGUUAGGGAAGAACAAAUUUGUUAGUAACUGAACAAGUCUUGACGGUACCUAACCAGAAAGCCACGGCUAACUACGUGCCAGCCGCCGCCGUAA